UCUAGAGAUUUGUUUGGAGGUGGAUCUCGAUUAAUGUCGUUCUCUUCCUCACCGCCACUUGAACACAUGAAAGUAUCGUUCCGGCCUACAGAUGGCUGUGAGACUACCAAGAUGAACUUAAAAUUCGCUGAUGGCAAUAAUAAUCUUGGAAGCGAUGGAAAUAUUUUUCCUUCAUUUCAAUUGGUCCCAGGGAUGUCAACUACUCAGCAUAACGUUGGUUCGGACUCAGAUGACACAUUCUAUAGAUCAUCACCUUCUGUAUCAGAUGAUAGUCUUAGCCAUCGGUCUAAUUCAAAUUCUGAGCAAUGUGAGUCCGGAGAAUCUCCCAGUAGCAAGGAGCACGAUUUAUAUGACGUUUUACGCAGAAUCUCGUCGAUGGAAUCUACUUCAACAAUAAGGGAAAAUGGGAGGUCGAGACACGGAGAGAUCUAUGAGAACCCUUGUCGUCAACUUCCAUUUGUUAAAAGCGUUGUGGACAAACAUUCUCAAUCUUGUGGUUUGUUUGAUAUUCCAAAGUUUAAUAUCCAAAAUCACUCGCUCAGGGAAGAACUGCAAAACGAUUCGUCAACAAUGGAUCCUGUGGAGACACAAUUUUCACCUACCCCUCCACCUCUCCCUCCUGCACAAUGGCGGACUAUGAAGUCACGUCUGGAUGAUACAGAAAAUGGGCAUGCUGUGAUAUCUGGCGGCCUUAACUAUGCAUCUGGUCUUACACGUUCAACAUCUACAAUAUCUCAUCAACCUAAGCAGUUCACAGAUAGGACAAGAAGCAAUCCUGAAUCUCAGGAACCUGAACAAGAACCUUCUAACAAUACACAAGGGAAGUUAUGGACAAAUGGUGGAUUGCUAGGAUUAGAUCCAUUAAAACCUCCAGAUUUCAGUGUAUUAAAUGCCAUCCAUCAAGAUCCUGCAUCCAGCAACGAUGGAAGUAUCUGUACUUUCAGGGCUAGAGCUGCAAAGAAAUCUGAUGAAAUCGAGAACUCCAGAAAUAUGGGAAAUGAUUUCGAUAUGGAUAGCUCUAUAUCACAUCAAAAUUACCAGGAAGGUGGCACCUCAUUUGGGAAGACGUCUUGGAAAAUUUCGACUACCAAUUUAGAUGUCAAGCUUGAAAAGUCCAGUAAUUCACUUCAUCGAAAUUAUGUCGGUAGUACUGCGAACAAUGGAUCUACUGACUCUGGUGUAGGACCAUCUAGAAGUUCUCAGCCUGUCAGCUCAGAUAUUCGAUUUACCAGAGAUCAUAGGGAGAAUUGCAGAAGUUCUAGGAUGUUUGAACUGGGCAAUCUAUUGUUUACAAAUGAAUCUUAUAGAAAGCUAUUGGUUGGCAGAGAUGACCACUCUGGUUCUUCUGGCUACCUAAAUACAGGUGUUAUCGAACAGAACAAUUGUCAAAAUAUUGCAGAUCAAUCAUUCUCUGGAAGAUCUAGAGAUUUGUUUGGAGGUGGAUCUCGAUUAAUGUCGUUCUCUUCCUCACCGCCACUUGAACACAUGAAAGUAUCGUUCCGGCCUACAGAUGGCUGUGAGACUACCAAGAUGAACUUAAAAUUCGCUGAUGGCAAUAAUAAUCUUGGAAGCGAUGGAAAUAUUUUUCCUUCAUUUCAAUUGGUCCCAGGGAUGUCAACUACUCAGCAUAACGUUGGUUCGGACUCAGAUGACACAUUCUAUAGAUCAUCACCUUCUGUAUCAGAUGAUAGUCUUAGCCAUCGGUCUAAUUCAAAUUCUGAGCAAUGUGAGUCCGGAGAAUCUCCCAGUAGCAAGGAGCACGAUUUAUAUGACGUUUUACGCAGAAUCUCGUCGAUGGAAUCUACUUCAACAAUAAGGGAAAAUGGGAGGUCGAGACACGGAGAGAUCUAUGAGAACCCUUGUCGUCAACUUCCAUUUGUUAAAAGCGUUGUGGACAAACAUUCUCAAUCUUGUGGUUUGUUUGAUAUUCCAAAGUUUAAUAUCCAAAAUCACUCGCUCAGGGAAGAACUGCAAAACGAUUCGUCAACAAUGGAUCCUGUGGAGACACAAUUUUCACCUACCCCUCCACCUCUCCCUCCUGCACAAUGGCGGACUAUGAAGUCACGUCUGGAUGAUACAGAAAAUAGGCAUGCUGUGAUAUCUGGCGGCCUUAACUAUGCAUCUGGUCUUACACGUUCAACAUCUACAAUAUCUCAUCAAC
rnacentral:lncRNA from 1 species